GCUUCUAUAACUCAGUUGGUAGAGUGCAUGACUAGUAAUCAUGAAGUCCGCGGUUCGAAUCCGCGUGGAAGCA
rnacentral:tRNA from 3 species